UGAGAAUAUGUAAAGAUUUAGAACCCUGAGACUUCAUUCCGCAACUUUGUUCGCUGCCGUAUAAAGCGUCACUUUACGUAAUGAAAACUGCCACAAAAAGUGGACUUUUGAAUGCCCAUGCCGUCAAA
rnacentral:lncRNA from 1 species